UCACACAUGACAGUGAGGAAACCAAGUGCAACUCCUGGGUUUUUUUAGAUUCUGCCUGACACGGAACACCAGGUCUGCUCGUCUUUUUUGUGUUUUAUAUUUGCUUAUUUAAGGUACAUUUCUUUGGGUUUCUAGAGACGCCCCUAAGUCACCUGCUUCAUUAGACGGUUUCCAGGUUUUCUCCCAGGUGACGCUGUUAGCGCCUCAGCUGGCGGUGACAGCCGGCCCAGCGUGGCGCCACCACACACCGCAGAGCUGUCCAGGCACAGCUCCGUCCCCAGCGCUCAUGGUGUUGAAACUGUCUGUCAUGCACCACGGUGUCUGUGUCCACACAGUAAUAAACGGUUUACUGUCCGCA
rnacentral:lncRNA from 1 species